AAAACUUUCAACAACGGAUCUCUUGGUUCCAGCAUCGAUGAAGAACGCAGCGAAAUGCGAUAAAUAAUGUGAAUUGCAGAAUUCAGUGAAUCAUCGAGUCUUUGAACGCACAUUGCGCCCCUCGGUAUUCCGGGGGGUAUGCCUGUUCGAGCGUCAUU
rnacentral:rRNA from 1 species